rnacentral:rRNA from 1 species
UAUGAACGCUGGCGGCAGGCCUAACACAUGCAAGUCGAGCGGACCUUUCGGGGUCAGCGGCGGACGGGUGAGUAACGCGUGGGAACGUACCCUUUUCUACGGAAUAGCCCAGGGAAACUUGGAUUAAUACCGUAUACGCCCGGUAACGGGGAAAGAUUUAUCGGAGAAGGAUCGGCCCGCGUUGGAUUAGGUAGUUGGUGGGGUAAUGGCCUACCAAGCCGACGAUCCAUAGCUGGUUUGAGAGGAUGACCAGCCACACUGGGACUGAGACACGGCCCAG